rnacentral:lncRNA from 1 species
AGCGAGGGGCUGAGGCUCGACCAUGGCUGUCGCCCGAGGGCGACCGAGAGUCAGGCUAGCUGGUGGGGGCGUGUGAGGGCGGCUUUGCCUCCGCCUCUGCUCACUUCCUUUCUCAGGAAUGGUGGGCGCCGUCCCCACCCCUCACUGGCAGUGACGGUGGACAACAAAGGGGCUCGGGGUGGCGGCCAGACAAAGAGUUGCAGCGCCGGGGGAAGUUGGGAACAAAGGUAGGGGGCUGGGAGCUUCAGGGAGACGCGCUACAAGAACCCCAAAGCAGAAAGUGCCUUUGUCUCCUGGGCUGCCCAAACUUGCGGAAAGCCGGGUGGUCCUACCUCACCCGCCGCCCACCUGGGCCUGAUCGGCCGCGCUGGGACGAUGCCCUCACCGCGCAUCCAGCUGAGAGGGAAACAGGUCGGACCUGGGCAGCGCCCGAGGGAAAGCCUGGGUAGCCAGCGGCCGGCAUGUAAAGGCCCCGCCUCCUCAAAGGAAAGGCUGCUGGACCCAUGGAACAUGCCAGAAGAGAGGAGCAGACAGAUCUUAACAGAUGGAGACCAUUAAAGAAAACCAAACCAAGCCAGGCAUUGGUGGCACACGCCUUAAAUCCCAGCAAUCGGGAGGCAGAGGCAGGUGGAUUUCUGAGUUCGAGGCCAGCCUGGUCUACACAGUGAGUUCCAGGACAACCAGGGCUACACAGAGAAACCCUGUCUCGGAAAAAAAAGAAAGAAAGAAAGAAAGAAAGAAAGAAAGAAAGAAAGAAAGAAAGAAAGAAAGAAAGAAAGAAAGAAAGAAAGAAAGAAAGAAAGAAAGAAAGAAAACCAAAACCAAUCAAAACGCAGGUAUGGAGACCAGUUCCAAUGGACAGAUGGACCUCUAAGGUUCAAGGAGCUCUGUGGAAGGGGGUGGGGGUGGGGGGAGUAGAGAUUGUUAGAGCCAGAGGAACAGAAGUUUGGUGUUAUAAGAUUGUGUUUCCUAGGAAUGUCAGAAGCUACACACAUAAAGUCUCACCAACAUGGCUACCUAAAGGUGACCUGAACAAGGACAAUACCAACGAUAGCCAUGUUAACACAGAGGGGGAGGGAGCAAAAGAGGCCUCAGCCCUAGACUAAAGAAGAACUAAAGCAACUGAGGAGUACUGAGAGUGGAAGAAACAGUCUGCCCCAGAGAAGAGAGAGCAUGCCGGCUGGUUGUCCAGCACCAAGCAGUCAGCCCAGAAAACAUGCAUACAAGGAACAUUAUAGAUUGUAUUUAUGUACUAUGCAUUGUAGCCUCCCCAGCCUUGAGCAGGCUGAUUCAGACCUGUUCUGCCACUGUGAAUGAGACCACCUAGGGUGGAGUCUUCUGACCUAGAUAGGUCUAUUGUUCCGUCACCUGCACUGCUCUCCUCCAAGAUGCGGCUUCCUGCUGAGAGGCUGAACCUGUCUUCCUGAGAUAUUCCUGAGAUAAGAUGACAAGAUGGUGACUGACAACCUGUCCAUUGGUGACCUAGUGCUAACAACUUGGCAACAAAGCAUAAAGAUGCCUGGCGUGGCAGGGGAUGGGCCUCCUCCUUUAUAAGCACAGACUCUUAGUAAACAUUCGGCCUUGAUCA